GAUGAAGAACGCAGCGAAAUGCGAUAAGUAAUGUGAAUUGCAGAGUUUUGUGAAUCAUCGAGUCUUUGAACGCACAUUGCGCCCCCUGGUAUUCCGGGGGGCAUGCCUGUCCGAGCGUCAUUGCUGCCCUCAAGCACGGCUUGUGUGUUGGGCCUCCGCCCCCCGGCUCCCGGGGGGCGGGCCCGAAAGGCAGCGGCGGCACCGCGUCCGGUCCUCGAGCGUAUGGGGCUUCGUCACCCGCUCCGUAGGCCCGGCCGGCGCCCGCCGGCGACCCCCCUCAAUCUUUCCAGGUUGACCUCGGAUCAGGUAGGGAUACCCGCUGAACUUAAGCAUAUCAAUAAGCGGAGGA
rnacentral:misc_RNA from 1 species